GACGUAGGGCGCGAGCGUUGUCCGGAUUUAUUGGGCGUAAAGGGCUCGUAGGCGGUCUGUCGCGUCGGGAGUGAAAACUCAGGGCUUAACCCUGAGCCUGCUUCCGAUACGGGCAGACUAGAGGUAUGCAGGGGAGAACGGAAUUCCUGGUGUAGCGGUGGAAUGCGCAGAUAUCAGGAGGAACACCGGUGGCGAAGGCGGUUCUCUGGGCAUUACCUGACGCAGAGGAGCGAAAGUGUGGGGAGCGAACAGG
rnacentral:rRNA from 1 species